rnacentral:rRNA from 1 species
UACGUAGGGGGCAAGCGUUGUCCGGAAUCAUUGGGCGUAAAGCGCGUGUAGGCGGCCUUGUAAGUCCGUUCUGAAAGCCCGGGGCUCAACCCCGGGAGGCGGAUGGAUACUGCAAGGCUCGAGUACGGAAGAGGCGAGUGGAAUUCCCGGUGUAGCGGUGAAAUGCGCAGAUAUCAGGAGGAACACCGGUGGCGAAGGCGGAUCUCUGGGCCUUACCUGACGCUGAGGCGCGAAAGCUAGGGGAGCGAACAGG